UGGGGGAUAUUGCACAAUGGGGGGAACCCUGAUGCAGCGACGCCGCGUGGGCGAGGGAGCGCCUCGGCGCGUAAAGCCCUUUCGGCGGGGGAGAACGAUGACGGUACCCGACGAAGAAGCACCGGCUAAAUACGUGCC
rnacentral:rRNA from 1 species